UACAGAGGUCUCGAGCGUUGUUCGGAUUCAUUGGGCGUAAAGGGCGCGUAGGCGGCGGGGUAAGUCUGGUGUGAAAUCUCGGAGCUCAACUCCGAAAUUGCACUGGAUACUGCUCUGCUAGAGGGCUGGAGAGGAGAUCGGAAUUCACGGUGUAGCAGUGAAAUGCGUAGAUAUCGUGGAGGAAGACAGUGGCGAAGGCGGAUCUCUGGACAGCUCCUGACGCUGAGGCGCGAAGGCUAGGGGAGCAAACGGG
rnacentral:rRNA from 1 species